UGUGGUGGUUGAAAGUCUGUGCACCCAGCAGCCUUCUGGUGGGAUGUUCAAAAAGCAGUGCUACACCAGGGCAGCAUUUGGCAUCCUUUGUUUUCAGUCUGCUGUGCCUGUUAAACCAGGUAUUUUUGCUGAAACAAUC